rnacentral:lncRNA from 1 species
AUGAUGUCGACGGUGUUGAUGAUGGAGUUGUUUCAGUCUCUUCCAAAGAUGAGAGGAGAAAUCAACCUACAGAUGCAGAGCCUGUGGCUUAUAUUACCAACUAUGAUUUCCAUCCAGUACAAAUCAAUGAGCGAGUGGCAAAACAACCUAGGAGGAAGAGACCCCAUUUAAGAUCAAGCCAUGGUCAUCAACAACCUUUGCAGAUCCAUGGUGAUCAACAACCUAUGUCAAACCAUAUUACCAACUAUGAUUCCCAUCCAGUACAAAUCAAUGAGCGAGUGGCAAAACAACCUAGGAGGAAGAGACCUCGUUUAAGAUCAAGCCAUGGUCAUCAACAACCUUUGCCGAUCCAUGGUGAUCAACAAUCUGUACUAAGCCAUGGUGAUCAACAACCAAUGUCAAACCACAGUGAUCAACAAUCUGUACCAAGCUAUGGUGAUCAACAACCUGGACCACGGCAUUAUGAACAUGUAAAUGCCGAGUCAAUA